rnacentral:tRNA from 1 species
GGGGAUGUAGCUCAGUGGUAGAGCACUUGCCUAUCAUGCAGGGAGUCGUAGGUUCAAUCCCCUGUAUCCCCA